AAUCAACGCUGGCGGCGUGCCUAACACAUGCAAGUCGCACGAGAAAGGGUAGCAAUACCUGAGUACAGUGGCGCACGGGUGAGUAACACGUGAAUAAUCUACCUCCGAGUGGGGAAUAACUUAGGGAAACCUGAGCUAAUACCGCAUAACACUUACGAGUCAAAGCAGCAAUGCGCUUGGAGAGGAGUUCGCGGCAGAUUAGUUAGUUGGCGGGGUAAUGGCCCACCAAGACGAUGAUCUGUAUCCGGCCUGAGAGGGCGCACGGACACA
rnacentral:rRNA from 1 species